AUUAAAAAUGCUGGAAUUUUUUUUUUUCACUGAGAUGUCUCUACCUCUUAGAGCAAGAGCUGGGUGAUAUUAAAUCCAACCUCCUUUUAUGAUUUUGACCAUUUCACUCACUGGAAUUCACUGGAAGUGUAGCUGGUUAAAAUAGCUCUCAGCUUCUCUGCUCACCAGCAUGGGGGUUGGGGAUAAAACUAGAAGUAACUUCUAUUGAGAUUUUGUCCAGAUGUCUUAGAUCUGUGCUCUUCCUAUUUGGAUGUGGUGCAGAGAAAUAUUUGUGUAGUUCUUUUUGCUGGGGUAGUGUUCUAAAUGGAACUUUGGACCAUCAUUUGGAGCAAUACUCUGGAGAUAUUAUAUCCUUGUACCCCCCUCCCCCAGGGUAGAGUAGAUGAGUAUCUCAGCAGAACCUCAGGAUUCUAGCAGCUCCCCAGAUUUCUACUCAUAGGGCAAGGUACCCGCCACUCUGGGUGGAUGUUGCAUGGUACCCCACCAUUAAACAUGAACUUCCAAGCCUCCAUCCCUAAAUAUAAUCUGAUUCUUUUCAGCUGGUCAUUUACUCCAGUGUUCAAAGGGAUAGCUGGUUGUCUUCCCCUAUAACACACUGUCUUGUUCAAUGUCCUCAAUCCUUUCCAGUUGGUCUUUCAUAUCACAGAGCCCAGAGGGAGAGCAGGUUGCACUCUCCCCCAUAUCUCUGUCUUGAAUCUCCUGUAUCUACUACUGUUCUCUAUAACUGCUUUUGCCAGGUGCACUUUUAAGUCACUUUGUAAUCAUUGCCCAAGGCAGAGUGGAAGUAUUUGCCAAGAACCCUUGGGUUCCCAUAGGAACAAGAUUCAUUAUAAACCCCUCAAGCUGGACCUCCAUCUCAGUUCUUCACUUAUCAGUUGAGAAUCAUGGAGCACAAACAACUCUGCUGCGAGUCUUUGUUUCAGCUAAUUACAGGCUGCCUUCUUCAGGUUUUUAUGUGCCAAAUUUGUUCACCACGUUUCUCUUUCCCUUUGUGUUGCGCUUCCCUUGUCAGUGACAGAGCAGCCCUGCUGCUGCUGGGCUCUGGUGUAUUUCCUUAGACCCUUUGUUCACAACACCAGACUCUCUGGGCUUCUCCUAAUCUCUGCCAGACAAAUAUUGACUCACAUUGAUUUUCUCCAGAUGUCUACCUUGUUACGAAGCAGUAUUCCUGUUGUUUCAAUUCCAAACAGCAGAGUGUGGGAAGUGCCUUCUACUUCACCAUUUCAGAUCCUUCCCGUGUGUAUUUUAACAAUUUCUUUUUCAAGUAGCUUAAGUCUAACUCAUUUUUCAGAAUGAUGCAAGAGCAUUUACUAUUUUUUCAAAAUAGCAAGUACCAGAUCUAGUGUGUUGCCAUCCGGUGUGUACCUGGUGUCUCAGUCCUACAACAAAAUCCACUGGACUCAGUGUUGUGGGAAUGGGUUUUGUGACUCAACCAAGGAGUGGAUCAGGGACAGUCAGUUGGACGAGAGGCACCAUGAGGAUUUCAGAUGGCAUCAGCAUGGUUGUCUUUACAGCUGGAAUGGUGGUCACUGCCACCUUUGUGUUCUCUGCAGUGACACCCCUGGAGGACCCUGUCUUUCUAUACCAGUGAACAGUCUUCAGUUCUUUCUGCUCCUGUCGACUACUUGUUACCAGCCUGAGAACUCCGUUUAACUUAACGGGAAGGAACCCGGCCUGUCUGCACUUGGAGGUCCGUCUCAAGCUUUCUUCUGUUAUGAUCAGUGCCUUCUGCUGAUCCUGGAGAACCUCCUCUCGUAUUUUAGGUGUUUUGUUCAUUAUGUUUACUUUUUUGGAACUAUGUAAGCCUGAC
rnacentral:lncRNA from 1 species